GACGAACGCUGGCGGCGUGCUUAACACAUGCAAGUCGAACGGAAAGGCCCUGCUUUUGUGGGGUGCUCGAGUGGCGAACGGGUGAGUAACACGUGAGUAACCUGCCCUUGACUUUGGGAUAACUUCAGGAAACUGGGGCUAAUACCGGAUAGGAGCUCCUGCUGCAUGGUGGGGGUUGGAAAUUUUCGGCGGUUGGGGAUGGACUCGCGGCUUAUCAGCUGGUUGGUGGGGUAGUGGCUUACCAAGGCUUUGACGGGUAGCCGGCCUGAGAGGGUGACCGGCCACAUUGGGACUGAGAUACGGCCCAGACUCCUACGGGAGGCAGCAGUGGGGAAUAUUGCACAAUGGGCGGAAGCCUGAUGCAGCAACGCCGCGUGCGGGACGACGGCCGUCGGGUUGUAAACCGCUUUCGCCUGUGACGAAGCGUGAGUGACGGUAAUGGGUAAAGAAGCACCGGCUAACUACGUG
rnacentral:rRNA from 1 species